rnacentral:rRNA from 1 species
UACGUAGGGGGCGAGCGUUGUCCGGAUUUAUUGGGCGUAAAGAGCUCGUAGGCGGCUUGGCAAGUCGGGUGUGAAACCUCCAGGCUCAACCUGGAGACGCCACUCGAUACUGCUAUGGCUAGAGUCCGGUAGGGGACCACGGAAUUCCUGGUGUAGCGGUGAAAUGCGCAGAUAUCAGGAGGAACACCGGUGGCGAAGGCGGUGGUCUGGGCCGGCACUGACGCUGAAGCACGAAAGCGUGGGGAGCAAACAGG